GACGAACGCUGGCGGCGUGCUUAACACAUGCAAGUCGAACGGAAAGGCCCUGCUUUUGUGGGGUGCUCGAGUGGCGAACGGGUGAGUAACACGUGAGUAACCUGCCCUUGACUUUGGGAUAACUUCAGGAAACUGGGGCUAAUACCGGAUAGGAGCUCCUGCUGCAUGGUGGGGGUUGGAAAGUUUCGGCGGUUGGGGAUGGACUCGCGGCUUAUCAGCUUGUUGGUGGGGUAGUGGCUUACCAAGGCUUUGACGGGUAGCCGGCCUGAGAGGGUGACCAGCCACAGUGGGACUGAGAUACGGCCCAGACUCCUACGGGAGGCAGCAGGGGGGAAUAUUGCACAAUGGGCGGAAGCCUGAUGCAGCAACGCCGCGUGCGGGAUGACGGCCUUCGGGUUGUAAACCGCUUUCGCCUGUGACGAAGCGUGAGUGACGGUAAUGGGUAAAGAAGCACCGGCUAACUACGUG
rnacentral:rRNA from 1 species